CAAGGGUGGAGAGAGCAGGAACAUUCAAUAUGACACAGGAAUCAACACUUUCUAAUACGCCUGCAAGAAACAGGAAUGAUGCUGUGAAAAGCAGAUGUGACGAACGCAGGGGUCUCUACAGUCGCAUGCCAUUAUAUAUCCUUCCCGCUGACCCAUGACUAUAUAGAGGAAGCUGAAGGAAGAAUGAUGUUUGCAGGAAGGCUUAAUGGAGCAGCCCCGCUAUCGGAGAGGGGCCGGAGAAUGGAUUUAAGGAAGCGGUAGAAAUGGGAGAGUGGCUGCACCUGGAGGACCAUCAAUUUGGUGAAAGAUGCUCUAUGAUCUGCCCUAAACCUGUUGGUCUUCAAGAACAAGGAGUUGAUCCUGCCGGAGUGUUGCUGACAGGCACAUCCCAAGGUUCACGAUAACAACAUGCUGAGGGACGCACUAAAGUCUGGGGCAGCUUUUGUUGGAAAGACCACUGUCUAAGGCUUCCCUGCCAAAGGAUAAUGAGGGCCCAUUCAGCUGCAAGACCCUCUCUUUGCCUUAAUAUAUGGUGUGAGUUAAAAAUCCCCUUGUGCCACUACACAGGGUGCAACAUAAAAUUCCAAUGUAUCAUUUACAUUUCUCUUUCUUUGCUGGAAAGAUUAAACAGACAAGAAUGAGAAUGCUUUUGUAUGUGCUUAUGAUUAAUUAUUUUAUGAAUAAAGUAUAGUUUUGCAAUAAAAAAAGCCAGAAAAUGGGAUGUGGCUGGAUUAUGCCAUUUUCUGACUGGAAAGGCUACAAAAGGGACAAAUGAGCUCUUGCUGAGUCAUGAACCUUUCGGAGUCAUGUAUCUGUGAAAUGUCUGAUGCACACAACGAGAAUGUUAGAAAUGUAACCCCUCAGAAAUAAAAUCACCCUUUCUACAACCAUCAUUACGAAAGGUUUCUACAUUUAUCCCCUUGCUCAGGCUCAUUUACUUGUAGUGGAACCGUUG